rnacentral:rRNA from 1 species
CCUACGGUGUGCAGCAGUCGGGAAUAUUGGGCAAUGGAGGAAACUCUGACCCAGCAAUACCGCGUGAAGGAUGAAGGUUUUCGGAUUGUAAACUUCUGUUAUAAAGGAAGAAAAAAAUGACGGUACUUUAUAUGUAAGCCCCGGCAAACUAUGUGCCAGCCGCCGCGGUGAUACAUAGGGGGCAAGCGUUGUCCGGAAUGACUGGGUGUAAAGGGUGUGUAGGUGGCUUAUUAAGUGAGAGGUGCACGCACGAAGCUCAACGUCGGAACUGCCUUUAAAACUGGUUGGCUUGAGUGUGGGAGAGGUUAGUGGAACUCCUAGGGUAGCGGUGGAAUGCGUAGAGAUUAGGAAGAACAUCAGAGGCGAAGGCGACUAACUGGAACAUUACUGACACUGAAACACGAAAGCGUGGGGAGCAAACAGGAUUAGAUACCCCAGUAGUC